AAGUAAUAUAAAAGUUGGAAGAACAGUCUCAGUUCAUGAAGUAGAGGUAUAUGAGAUUAAAUAAAGAAAAGAAAGAGUGAAACAGACAGAAAAACAGGAUUGAAAGUCAAACCCAAUAAGGAAAUAUUUCCCUAUAUACUAGUCAUUAGAACAGGGGUGAUAAAGAGAAACAUAAUUUAAAAUAUUUAUGCCUCUGUUAUAUAUUCAUGAGUGCAAAUUUAACAGACUCGGAAAUCUAGGCAAAAUUAGGUAGCAAACAUACAGGUGAUUUUUACAUGUUAAAAAAUCAGGAUCCAAUAAAAAACCAAAAUCUAAGGGAGGUUCUUUUUUCAGAGAUAAAAAUCAGGCUUGCU
rnacentral:lncRNA from 1 species